CCCGACUUACUGGCCUUCCAAGUAGGCUCCUGGUAAAAAGGAAAUGCGUAAAUGGCGACAGUAGAGCCAGCCUUCAUGAAUCCAGAAAUGUGAGCCACAUUUUGAGGAUAGCAGAGUCACUGCAGAAGCCUGGAUCCUUGCAUAACCUUGUCGAGUGGGAAAAUCUACCCAUACUUGACCAACCACCUAACUGGGGGCUCUACAUCUGAGAGAAAUGAUUUUUUAUCUUAUUUAAGCCACUGUAGUUAGGAGUCAG
rnacentral:lncRNA from 10 species